rnacentral:rRNA from 1 species
AACGAACGCUGGCGGCAUGCCUAACACAUGCAAGUCGAACGAGACCAUCGGGUCUAGUGGCGCAUGGCUGCGUAAUGGGUGGGAACUUGCCCUUAGGUUCGGAACAACCUCCCGAAAGGGGUGCUCAUAUCGGAUAAUGUCCUCGGACCGAAGAUCGAUUGCCUUCGGAUGGGCGCGCGUUGGUUUCGCAGGUGCGUAGGGUAAGAGCAUACCAAGGUGACGAUCCAUAGCUGGUCAGAGAGGAUGAGCAGCCACACUGGGACUGAGACGCGGCGCAGACUACUGCGCGAGGGAGGAGUGGGGGAUAUUGGACAAUGGGCGGAAGCAUGAUCCAGCAAUGCCGCGUGAGUGAUGAAGGCCUUAGGGUUGUAAAGCUCUUUUACCCGGGAUGAUAAUGACAGUACCGGGAGAAUAAGCUCCGGCUAACUCCGUG